rnacentral:rRNA from 1 species
GAUGAACGCUGGCGGCAGGCUUAACACAUGCAAGUCGAGCGGGGGAAGGUAGCUUGCUACCGGACCUAGCGGCGGACGGGUGAGUAAUGCUUAGGAAUCUGCCUAUUAGUGGGGGACAACAUCUCGAAAGGGAUGCUAAUACCGCAUACGUCCUACGGGAGAAAGCAGGGGAUCUUCGGACCUUGCGCUAAUAGAUGAGCCUAAGUCGGAUUAGCUAGUUGGUGGGGUAAAGGCCUACCAAGGCGACGAUCUGUAGCGGGUCUGAGAGGAUGAUCCGCCACACUGGGACUGAGACACGGCCCAGACUCCUACGGGAGGCAGCAGUGGGGAAUAUUGGACAAUGGGGGGAACCCUGAUCCAGCCAUGCCGCGUGUGUGAAGAAGGCCUUAUGGUUGUAAAGCACUUUAAGCGAGGAGGAGGCUACUGAGACUAAUACUCUUGGAUAGUGGACGUUACUCGCAGAAUAAGCACCGGCUAACUCUGUGCCAGCCGCCGCCGUAA